UUCAGACUGAAUUUUAUUAACUAAAAUGGAUAUGCAAAAAUAUUGUCUCACCAGAAUGGAAUGACUCCUGGAUGAGGUGGCCAGUAUAAAUUAAAGCGGGGUCCUUGACUGAAGUGAAGCACAAUGAAUGUUCAGAAAAGAAUGGUGAAGAACAGAAUUGUGAGGAGAUGGAGGAAGCCAGGCAGCAGAUACAAAAGAAUAUGGGAGUGCAUGAUUCCACAAUACAUGAAUGAAAAUAAAAGUAGCUGAUAACCUAG
rnacentral:lncRNA from 1 species